AAUUUGGAUGAAGAAAUAGUCCGUUUGUCGUGCCAAACUCACCCAGUAGCAGUCCUAGUUUCUGUCUAACUCCAAUCUGUAUUUCUCCCAGAUGUCCAUGGGGAGUCCAUAUUUAACUCCAUCGUCAUUAAGUGAAGAUGGGGAUAUGAAGUUGGAGGAAAAAAAAUACAGCAUCAGCAGCAUUCUUUCCAUCCUUCGAAACGCUCAAUCUCUCUAAAUUUCCUAAUUUGAGAGGAUGGUGGAAGAAAAUUGAGCAGCAACAUCAUCAUCUAUUAGUCUCAUGAUUUCCUCGUACCAUUUACUUGUAUAUCAAUGGCUAAGUUGACUUCCUUCCCAUUAUAUCCACAAUUUGAAGAACUAUAUCUAAAGAAUGUCAAUGAAAUAUCAUUAAGACUAUUAACUAUGACAACUGAAAGGAAGUCUGGUAAUCAAGAACAUUUCUCUCCUUCUGAUCAGUUGAAGUUCUGUCUCUUGAGGGGAUCCAGGAUUUAGAAUCACUGCCCGAGAAGUGGCUGUGAGGCAUCACUUAUCUCGAGGAUGUGUUUAUCAUGUACUGCCCUAAGCUAAGAAUGUCCCUGAUGCAACUUAGGCAACUUCUUAGCACAGUUGAAAGCUUCAGGAUAGGUAGUUCUGAGGAACUUGAUGUGUUCAAUAAUGUGGAUCAUGGGAGCAUGUGGUGGAGAUAACUUAACCUUUGCCGCCUACACAUCCAAAAUGUGUGGUGGAAUGAAUUGACAAAGAAACAGGGAAGGUUGGCCUAAAAUUCCUCAUUUCCCGAACUUAACACAGGGCCUGGAUCCUUGCAAAACUGAUUCAGAAACUGAUUCAUCUUCGACUUCCUGAGAAAGGAAUCUGGCAGUAGGCGACGAUGAAGUAGUAGUACAAACUUAUGGAGGAACAUCAACGUUGAUGGAAUGAUGCUAGGUGGAAAUUUGUUUACCAAAUGACUCCUUGCGGGCACAACAUCUGAGUAACAGCAGCUGCACACAGGCACUAUACUUGCACACCAGAGGUUGCUCUUCAUAAUAGGCAUAGCAAUCUUUACACAAAGCAUGAAGUGGAGAAUCAUAUUUUGGAAACAUUUUCUGGAACUAUGGAUAAGAUCAAGAUUAAGACAACGUUUUUAGUUAAUUAGUUAAAGUAGUUAUGAUUCUGUUGAAAGUCGUUAACAGAGCAAGUCUUUAGACAAAGCUUGUGUUUUCUUAAAGGGUGCAGAGGCCAUGUUUUUUUGGAACUUGUAACGAAGUUUUAAUUCAGAGCUUUCUCUAUUGUAUUUCUUCUUCUUUAGCCAUAAAUGGCCUUUCUUCUUCUCUAUAAGAUUGUGAAUUUCAUGAACAUGUUCAAGGAUUGGUCUUAGACUGCUCAAAUCCUGAAAUCCGAAGUCGAUUCCAGUACGAUCUUACACUUCUCUGUUUAUUGCUA